AUUGAACGCUGGCGGCAGGCCUAACACAUGCAAGUCGAGCGAGCGGCGGACGGGUGAGUAAUGUCUGGGGACUGCCCGAUAGAGGGGGAUAACUACUGGAAACGGUGGCUAAUACCGCAUACUAUCGGAUAACACAUAUGGGAUUAGCUAGUCGGUGGGGGAAAGGCUCACCUAGGAGACGAUAUCUAGCUGGUCUGAGAGGAUGAUCAGCCCCCUUGGGACUGAGAUGCGGCCCAGACUCCUACGGAGGCAGCAGUGGGGGAUAUUGCACAAUGGGCGAAAGCCUGAUGCAGCGACGCCGCGUGGGGGAUGAAGGCUUUCGGGUUGUAAACCUCUUUCGCUAUCGAACGGGUAGGUGGAGAAGAAGCGCCGGCUAACUACGUGCCAGCAGCCGCGGUAAUUC
rnacentral:rRNA from 1 species